AGAGGGAGGGGGGGGGGUGAGUUGGUGAGUGGCUGGAGGAGGGAAAGAGGAUCGCACUAGCUACACGUUCUGUACGUGAUCAGUUCUUGUAACGUUUGAUUUCUGUGGGCGACAGGGGAGGAAUACGUCGCUAGUCUUCAUAGGGAGCCUCAGACGAGCGGUUGUGUCGUUGUUCAACAUGUCAUUUUUCAAAAGAUGGCAGAAAAACGCAGUAGCAGUGCCAUAGAUAUUGAAAGCAAGAAAAAACCAAGGCGUGAGCAGAAGUACAGAGAUGUUUGGGAAAAAGAAUUUCCAUGGUUAAGACCAUCCAGGAAAGACUUGUAAAGCACAGUGUAAAACAUGUGGUGUUGAAUUAAAUUACUGCGCAGUUAACAACAAUAAAGCUUCAUGAGAAAAGCGUGAAGCAUCAGAAUAUGUGUGCAACAUCUAGUUCAACAAAAACUAUAGCAGAGGCGUUUACCAGUGCACAAUCUAGCAAGGGAGAUUCAGUUAAAGCUGCUGAAAGCAAGCCCCAUGCAAAUGCAGAUUGCGAAAGAUGUUUCUCAGACAUUAAUAGAAUGAAAUCUAACGACAAAUAAACUAAAAACAGAAUCAGUGAGAGACAUUAUCUUAGCUAAACAAUCCGUAACAAGCCAAGGAAACUGCACCUCAUUCGAACCAUCCAGGAGCAUGAUAAGAAGUAUGACUUCAAAACUACUAUAUUCUACGGAUAAAGAAAGUGACCAAAGCUACCCACAAAUCCAUGGGGACUCAGCCAUUGACUUAUAAAGUGAAAUCUGGGAACCCUGCUGCCCACCCCUACCAGUCAGUCAGUCAGAUCACAGCUACGGUGGGGGAAUUGUAUGUGCUUCGCUCCUCCGUGACUCCCAAGGCGCUAAGCGUUCCAGUUUCACGCAACGAGGGAGCAAGAGCUGUGCUACGGCCUCCUCGUGGAAGUCAGCCACGUGAUCCACUUCAAGCAACGUGCCGUCCAGGCGAUCACCGUUACCCUCUGUCUGGCCUCGUGCGUCCACUUCACCUGAAGGGAUAUAGUUUUUACACCUUUAUUGACAUCAG